rnacentral:lncRNA from 1 species
GCUCCGGGAUGCAAUACUGCUCCCGAAGCCGAUCAACAUUCGGCCCCGAAAGCGAGGAAACCUCAACUUCCGGAGUCGACCGGGAGUCGUCAGUCGGAUUUUCCGACCGAGCUCCCCGAGUCGGAUUUUCGGCCAUUACACCGGAACCGAACGAGAAGAAGAAGAAGCGAAGGGAAAGAAGAAGAAGCGAAGAAGAAGAAGAGGAGG